rnacentral:rRNA from 1 species
CAGGAGGUUGGCUUAGAAGCAGCCAUCCUUUAAAGAAAGCGUAAUAGCUCACUGGUCGAGUCGGUCUGCGCGGAAGAUGUAACGGGGCUAAACUAUGCACCGAAGCUGCGGAUUCAGAAUUUAUUCUGAGUGGUAGGGGAGCGUUCUGUAAGCGGUUGAAGGUGUACCGGGAGGUAUGCUGGACGUAUCAGAAGUGCGAAUGCUGACAUGAGUAACGAUAAUGCGGGUGAAAAACCCGCACGCCGGAAGACCAAGGGUUCCUAUCCCAUGUUAAUCAGGGUAGGGUAAGUCGACCCCUAAGGCGAGGCCGAAAGGCGUAGUCGAUGGGAAACGGAUUAAUAUUUCCGUACUUGGUAUAAUUGCGAUGGGGGGACGGAGCAGGCUAAGCAAGCAUGGCGUUGGUAGUCCAUGUGAAAGUGAGUAGGCUAGCGACUUAGGUAAAUCCGGGUUGCUGUUAGGCUGAGACACGAGACGAGUCACUAAGGUGAUGAAGUUGCUGAUGCCAUACUUCCAGGAAAAGCCUCUAAGCUUCAGAUUAUACCGAAUCGUACCCCAAACCGACACAGGUGGUCAGGUAGAGAAUACUAAGGCGCUUGAGAGAACUCGGGUGAAGGAACUAGGCAAAAUCGUACCGUAACUUCGGGAGAAGGUACGCUCCGAUUGGUGAUGGGACUUGCUCCCUAAGCUGAUUGGAGCCGCAGUGACCAGGUGGCUGGGACUGUUUAUUAAAAACACAGCACUGUGCAAAAUCGCAAGAUGACGUAUACGGUGUGACACCUGCCCGGUGCCGGAAGGUUAAUUGAUGGGGUUAUCUUCGGAGAAGCUCUUGAUCGAAGCCCCGGUAAACGGCGGCCGUAACUAUAACGGUCCUAAGGUAGCGAAAUUCCUUGUCGGGUAAGUUCCGACCUGCACGAAUGGUGUAACCAUGGCCACGCUGUCUCCACCCGAGACUCAGUGAAAUUGAAAUCGCAGUGAAGAUGCUGUGUACCCGCGGCUAGACGGAAAGACCCCGUGAACCUUUACUACAGCUUGGCACUGAACAUUGAACCUACAUGUGUAGGAUAGGUGGGAGACUUAGAAGAUGAGACGCUAGUUUUGUUGGAGUCGUCCUUGAAAUACCACCCUUGUAGUUUUGAUGUUCUAACGUUGGCCCCUGAAUCGGGGUUACGGACAGUGCCUGGUGGGUAGUUUGACUGGGGCGGUCUCCUCCCAAAGAGUAACGGAGGAGCACGAAGGUUGGCUAAGUACGGUCGGACAUCGUACGGUUAGUGUAAUGGUAGAAGCCAGCUUAACUGCGAGACAGACACGUCGAGCAGGUACGAAAGUAGGUCAUAGUGAUCCGGUGGUUCUGAAUGGAAGGGCCAUCGCUCAACGGAUAAAAGGUACUCCGGGGAUAACAGGCUGAUACCGCCCAAGAGUUCAUAUCGACGGCGGUGUUUGGCACCUCGAUGUCGGCUCAUCACAUCCUGGGGCUGAAGUCGGUCCCAAGGGUAUGGCUGUUCGCCAUUUAAAGUGGUACGCGAGCUGGGUUUAGAACGUCGUGAGACAGUUCGGUCCCUAUCUGCCGUGGGCGUUUGAGAAUUGAGAGGGGUUGCUCCUAGUACGAGAGGACCGGAGUGAACGAACCGCUGGUGUUCGGGUUGUCAUGCCAAUGGCAUUGCCCGGUAGCUACGUUCGGAACUGAUAAGCGCUGAAAGCAUCUAAGCGCGAAGCAGGCCUCGAGAUGAGUUCUCACUAGAGCUAUAAGCUCUCUGAAGGGCCGUUGAAGACUACAACGUUGAUAGGCAAGAUGUGGAAGCAUAGUGAUAUGUUAAGCUAACUUGUACUAAUUACCCGUGAGGCUUAACCAUACAACGCCAAACGCGUUU